UCUGGCAAAAUCAGACCCCAGGCGUCCCCGCGACAUCAAGUUAUCUUCAAAGAGACGGACCACAACCAGAAAGAAGAUUGAUCGGUAACAACAGAUGUGCCCACGUUGAUCAUGAUUAAGAGCAAAUAAGUGACUAUAAAAAGCGCUGACAAAUAAUGACAGAUAGGUGUAUCGACUGAACAGAAAGGUAUACAAGGUGUUCAGUUUUGAUCAAGUUAUCUGAGCUUGGAAAUGGCAUCCAAUUUUAUCCUGUUUACCCUGCUGUUUGGAAUCGCUUUGGUGUGUCAGUGCAACAAAAUUUCCAGUGAGGAUUCAUUGUCCCUUUUGGAUCUGCUGAGUGCUGAAUUGGACGAAGAUACCUCUGAGGAUAUUACAACACGCAGUUCCAAGGGUUGUCAUGAUGUGAAAAGUAAGAUCUUCUGCAGUCGCUUUAGAAAAUACUGCCGCACAGAUUCAGGUACAAAUUUCAAAUUCAUGGUAUCAAAUUGUCGGUGGACAUGCGGAUGUAUUUGAAGUGAGCGUGCAUUUAUAUCACAGUUCAAAAGAAGGGAAAACCGACCAGACCUUGGCAAGAGACAAAGAAAUAAUCAACGAAAAAUUUAGAAGAGAACCUCCACGCGAUCAAUCAAGAUAACUUAGAAAAGUUAAGGUGUCCUAUAACACAAAUUAAAAGCUAAAAUGUAUUCCGUAAAAAGAUAAAUAAAUAAAAGAGAUAAAAAUAA